rnacentral:rRNA from 1 species
GAGGGGACGACUUCACUCCAACCCCUGUGACAUACCUUAAUGUUGCCUCGGCGGAUCAGCCCGCGCCCCGUAAAACGGGACGGCCCGCCAGAGGACCCAAACUCUAAUGUUUCUUAUUGUAACUUCUGAGUAAAACAAACAAAUAAAUCAAAACUUUCAACAACGGAUCUCUUGGUUCUGGCAUCGAUGAAGAACGCAGCAAAAUGCGAUAAGUAAUGUGAAUUGCAGAAUUCAGUGAAUCAUCGAAUCUUUGAACGCACAUUGCGCCCGCUGGUAUUCCGGCGGGCAUGCCUGUUCGAGCGUCAUUUCAACCCUCAAGCCCCCGGGUUUGGUGUUGGGGAUCGGCUCUGCCUUCUGGCGGUGCCGCCCCCGAAAUACAUUGGCGGUCUCGCUGCAGCCUCCAUUGCGUAGUAGCUAACACCUCGCAACUGGAACGCGGCGCGGCCAUGCCGUAAAACCCCAACUUCUGAAUGUUGACCUCGGAUCAGGUAGGAAUACCCGCUGAACUUAAGCAUGGGAAAAAGG